UCAGUUUUUAAAUGCUAAAAAGACAUUGAGAUCACAAUCAGGAUGAUAUGAUAAUACCUUGCAGCAUUAAGGGACUAGAAUGGACAUAUUUCAGUUUGAAUAUGGCAAACCACCUUCUGGGAACUUGCCUCAAAUAUUACCAUAUUUUCUUGUGCUUUUUCUUUUUUCCUAUUAAUUUAUGUAUGUGUAUAUAUUUACAGAUGCAUUAUUGAAAGUUUCAUAUGUUAUCAAAAUUCAAGGCAUUCUUAUAGAAGCUUUAUGAGAGAUACCUUUGAAAGCAAAUUCCUUCUUUUCCUGUGUGAUCUCUCCACCCUACUAUUUUUUACUUCUCUUGUUUAAUAUCCUCCAUAAAUGUUCUCACACACACACACACACAAACACACACACAUACACACGAACUUAAACAAGAAAUAAACAAGUUUGACAAGUGACUUCAGCCCUCAUUGUGAUACCACUACUUUCAGCCUUCUUCUGCCUUUCCUUUAUGGCACUGUCCCUGUGGGCAUUAAUUCCAUCUGUCCAGUUGCUGCACUACUCCUGUGAGCAAUAAUCUGACAGCCUCCUUGCUCCCUGGCCCCUGUGGACAUACAUCUGCCUGUUCCCAUCACUCAGAGGGGCUGAAUGUGCUCUCAGCCACAUGCAGCAUUGCAGGUUGAGGAAGCAUGGCCAAGUAACUCAGCAAGCCAGCUCUUUAGAAUUAAUACCAGUGAGGUCAUCAGGGGAAAUUGGAGACACUAUGUUUCUCCACCUUUUAGUAGUUUUCCACUGGCCAUGACUAAGAGAAGUGGAGAAGAUCUAUCAAGAUUUUCAAUGGUUCCAACAGAGAAGAGAGUCAAAAUAAGGAACUUCUUUUGGCUUUGGAAGAACUAGAGAUUGUGAAAGCUAUACAUGAAUCUGGUAGAGGAGAAGGAAAGGAGAGAAAAUGGAUGGAGCUAUUCUGACCCUCACAAUAAAACCGGUAACCUACCUGGAAUCUACAUGCUCUAAGUGAAGAAUUGAGGACACUUGGAGGAGUGACAAAGAGCCUUAUGUGGCUCAGGUAUGAAGACAAGAGGGCAUCUUUCACAUGGAUCCACUUCCUUUUCUUGCAAGACCUAAAGAAAGCAGCAUCCAAAUUCAGGAUUCUGGUAUCCUUUGUCCUCUGGAGAUUGAGGUUCCUGCCAGCUGACCUUGAGAGACGUGUCCAGAAUCUCAGUGAAGCUCAGGUGUCCCACGGCUCCAGGCUCUGGCAAUCAGAAGAGGAAAUCUGUUAACAGGGAGCCCCAUUUCCUUUUGAUCAGAUUUGCAGGGCAGGGUUAAGGCCGGGGAAUCAAAAUGGUGAUUCAGGGCCAAGAGAAAGCUGCGGGAAACGUCAGUAAGAGCAGCAGGAGGGGAAGGGAAUUCAAGGUGUUAAGAGGUACUCUGGCUAUUAUCACAUAAAUUAUUUCAUCCAGGCUUCGUCCCAGCUGUGCAGAGAACUAAAGAGACUGGCAGCGGGAAAUUUACACACACCUUGUACUCCAUCUCUCCCCUUGAUCUAAUCUAAUUAGAACAAUCACUUCUGCUGUUUCCCCCCACCAUCCGUUCUUACAUCUUCAGAAGGUGAGGAAGUGCAAGAGGGCUGGUCAACCACCAUCAAGAAAGUCUUCACUGAUCUCACAGAACAUCAGAACUAGUAGAGAGCUUAGAGAGUAUGCAGUCCAAUCCUCCCAUUUAUAGAGUAGGAAACUGAGGCCUAUGCAGUGACUUGGUCAAGGUUGCAAAGCUAGUAAGAGACAGAGCAGAACUUUGAACCCUGGGCUUCUGGCUUGAGUCCUGGACUCCUUCGCAUCAGGUACUACACAGGAAGCUUGUCCUGGCCCUCCAAAAAUUUGACAUUCUAUCAAAGUGCUUUCAUACUGCUUUCUAGAUAAAAAGGGUUAGAUAAUAGGGUGAGCAGGUAUUGUACUUGCUGCUCUUUCUGUCCUUCAUUACAUUAGGGUGGCUGUCACCCUGGAAGGCACCCAGGAAGCAGGCUGCUUGAGGGUACAGAGUACAAGACAAGAAUGUUUUCAGUGAAGGAAGGAGGAGGAGGGAUGACAGAAACAAGAAUUGAGCUUUUGGAGAUAGAGCUGCAAAGGAGAGGAGAAAAGGGCAACCGAUGGGCUAAGCCUAAUGGGAGGCUGCAGGGAGAGGUUCAAAUGUCCGUGAAGCAGUAAGGGAGAGGAUGCCAUGCCAAGGAGCUGCAUGAUUGGCACUGAGUGUAAUGAGUAGCAACAUGGCAUGACGGGGCCUAGACAAAAGAGGGGAGGGGAGUGGUAUACCCUUCCUUCCAUGUCUACAUUCCUAUUCCUUUUUUUCUGGCUUCUCUGUUGUCUCCACUCUAACCAGUACCCUGAUGCAUAGAGGAAGAGACCACUCUGAAAGAAUCUGGAAAAAAGUAGCCCCAUGAAAAAGAAAUGUCCAAUCACUGAUCCUGAAGUUUAUUCAAAGAGAAUGAUUUUCAGCAUCAAAGAAACAAACAUCCAGUAAGAUGGGCAUUGUAUUGUAUUUAAAAGAAAAACAGUUUUGGCCAGUGUUCCACAGCCUUCAAUGGAGGCAACAUAUAUAUGCCAAUGUCUCCUUUCUCAAAAAGUUAAAUUUCUAGCUUUGCUAUAUUUCCCUGAUAGGCAGUGAGGGGAACUCACUUAUUGUUGUUUAUUAAAAAUAACAAAACCAAAAUAAAAUAAUAUCUUUUUCUUUCUACGUAAAUUUAUAACAGAAACAUGGGAAUAGAAAUGUCCAGGUUCAUGAGAAAAGGUAUGGCCAGACUAGAUUUGUUUUCCUCUCUGUUAUUUCUCACAGCCUCAUUCCCACCUUGACACUGUCAUCUUCUUUUCAAAGGAAUUUCUGAGAUGAAAUGAGGGGGUGAGCUCAGAAACAAAGAUAGGCAACAAGGAGACGGAGAAGGUGGUAAAAGGAAUAAGGAAAGGUAGGAAGGCAAGAGAUAAAGUGGGAGAAAAUGUAGGUUUUUUAAAUGAAUACAAGACCAGUUUUCCAAUUGGUAUUCAAAUAACUACAUCUAAUUAAAAUAAAAAUUGGCAAUUGAUUCUGAAAAUACACAUGUCAGGGUGAACUUUUCAAAAGGUUUUUAUGGGUAAGCUCAAACAAUCUAACAAGCUUUAGCUUCCUAGGGUAGAGGAUGGCAAAAUAGAAUGGCUGUCAAGACUAUAUCAUCCUCCCCCAAUUUUGAUCUUCCAGAGACACAUUUUGACUGGUGUUGGAUCCAACUCAUUCUUUCUUCAAUCGAUGAGCUAGGAAAGAGAGCUUUUUGCUCACUUUAUAUUCUCUGUGCCCCUGCUACCUGGAUUGCUGCCCAAAUAUGUUAUCCUCCAGCUCUGUUGAAACCAGUUGGCAAUGUCUGGAUUGAAAAUUUAUAUUGUGUUUCCUCUAUGCUUCUUCCCUCGCCCUGAGUUCUCAUUCCAUUUGAACCUUGAAAAAAGAAAGCAUGCCACUAGGCUAGCUAACUAUAAUAGGGUGAAUUGCAAGGAGUAUUUUUUUCCUUUCUUUUAAGGAAAGUGUUUUCAAUAUAGACCUCAACUGUAUGUUUCAUUAAUUUGUAUAUAACAUUUGCUAGGCUCUACCUAUAGUGAAUGUGAGACUGAAUAUCCAAGCUUGCUUAGUUGAGAAAAUCUAAAACACUGAAAUAAUUCCUAGAGUUUUAAAAAUUCCCAGGGAAGGUUCUUCCUACUCAUUUACUAUAGGUUAAAUCAGAUUUGAUUUUCUAUUUCCUGGCAACAAAGCUUCAUGGAUGUGUUCCUAUUAGUGUUUAAAAAAAAAAGAAAAAGAAAAAAAAGAAAAGAGACAAGGUGAAGAGGGAGAAAAACCUGCCUAGGUAACUGGAUUUAGUCAGGAUGAUUUCCUCUUUAAAUUGAAGAGACUCUCCCUUUGCCAUUUUUCAGUACGUUAAUGUGUCCUGUGAACAGUAAACUACAAUAUCCACAUAAGCUCUAUGUAUGAUUUUCUAUGUGUUUGCUGAUCUAAGGAGAAGCUCUCAAGAGACUGGCUCCUUUUUAAGUAAGCAAAAUAGUGAAAAACAUUCAAAUAGAGAAAAAAGACAGGGAAAAAAGCUGGGUAGACAAGCCUGGAAAUAAGCUACCCUGCGGCCUUCCAAGAUGAAGGCCAGUGUAUUCACUCAUCAGCGGGAAGAAAAGCAGGAUACUUCUUCCUCUCUAGCACCUUUUUGAGAUGACUGCUAUAGAUAAAUAACGGAAUUGGAUUCUUUUUCACUCGAAAGAUAAGUGGACAGAGUGUUAUUUGUUGUUUCUUUUUUACAUCUCAUCGUUAUACAUGAUUUACACCUUAUGGUUAUGAAAUCAGCUAGGUUUGUAGAGUUUUGAGGAUUAAGUUCAUAAAAUCCUUGUGAAUAACUGCUGAUAUAGUCAAAUACAUCUCUGUUGAUCAAAAUAAUACUAGAUAAUAUUAACAGUAAGUUAAAAAGAGAUAGCCAUUUCAAGGAAAGGAUAUUAAGGAAAUGAGUUCAAACAGGUGAGACUGCCCGCUCUGCUAUAUGCUGGGUCAGCCUCUUGGCUUGUCACUUUGAAAUACAAGAGAGACUGGGUGGUCUCAUUGUUCUCUCCUUGAGGUAAAAGGGAGGGCAUGGGAUAUCUGGGUCAAUUUAAAAAGAGAAGUUCCAUUCACAUUUAUAUUCUCUCUCUCUUUCCCUCUUUCUCUCUCUCCUGUGCACACACAUACACACCCACACACCCACACACACACCCACACACACACACACACACACACACACACACAACUAAGCAGAUCAGAAGGACUUGAUGGAAGGGACAUAUUCAUUUUUUUCAUUAUUUUCCCAUGAGCAACCUUAAUCUUUGGGGACCUCACCCACAUUGGGCUCUGGACUAAGAGUCAGGAAAUGUAAAUUCUCCUCUUGGUUUUAUCACUGACUGUGUCACCUUGGAGAAGUCUUUGCUCCCCUCUAGGCUUAUUUUUUGAUCUAUUAAAUAGGAGGAAAGGUUGGACCAAAUGUCCUCAAAGGUUUCUUCCAGUUUUAACAUUAUGACUAAUUCCAUAUCAUUGUUUUGCAAAAUUAAGUAUUUGUAAUUGUAUGUACACUAAGUGUCUUCUACUGCCAAGUAUCUUUUUCUGGGUAUGUCAUGUCAUGUCUUUCUUUCUUUCUUUUUUUUUUUUUGAACCCUUACCUUCCAUCUUGGAGUCAAUACUGUCAAUACUGUGUAUUGGCUCCAAGGGCUAGGCAAUAGGGGUCAAGUGACUUGCCCAAGGUCACACAUCUGGGAAGUGUCUGAGGCCAGAUCCUCCCGUCUCUAGGCCUGGCUCUCAAUCUACUGAGCUACCCAGCUGCCCCCUGUCAUGUCUUUCUAAUUAAGCAUAUAAUUAACAAUUCUAAAAAGAUUAUCUUUUCAUUUUGUGAAUCCCCCAUAAUAUGUUGCUUCAUUUUUGUACAGAGUUGGCUAUAAAUACAUAUAUGUACAUAUAUAACAAACAUGUGUAUACAUGCAUGUAUAUAGCUGAUUUUAUACAAAAUUAUAUGUUUAUAUAUACACACAUAUAUAGCUGACUGUAUACACAAUGAAGCAACAUAUUGUGUGUGCAUGUGUGGGUGUGAUGUUUGAUUGGUGGCUGUUAGCCAUAUACUCACUGUCUUC